AUGUCCAUGUCAUGCGGUUUGUGCGGCGCCAACAACUGCCCGCGCCUCAUGGUCUCGCCCAUUCAUCAUCGUCAUCACCAUCAUCAGGAGCACCAGCUGCGUCAGCACCAGUUCUUCGCCCAAGGCAACCACCACCACCACCACCCAGUGCCACUGCCGCCAGCCAACUUCGACCAUAGCAGAACAUGGACCACACCAUUUCAUGAAACAGCAGCUGCAGGGAACAGCAGCAGGCUCACGCUGGAGGUGGGCGCAGGCGGCCGACCCAUGGCUCACCUAGUGCAGCCACCGGCAAGAGCCCACAUCGUGCCAUUUUACGGAGGUGCAUUCACCAACACUAUUAGCAAUGAAGCAAUCAUGACUAUUGACACAGAGAUGAUGGUGGGGCCUGCCCAUUAUCCCACAAUGCAGGAGAGAGCAGCGAAGGUGAUGAGGUAUAGGGAGAAGAGGAAGAGGCGGCGCUAUGACAAGCAAAUCAGAUACGAGUCCAGAAAAGCUUACGCUGAGCUUCGGCCACGGGUCAACGGCUGCUUUGUCAAGGUACCCGAAGCCAUGGCGUCGCCAUCAUCUCCAGCUUCGCCCUAUGAUCCUAGUAAACUUCACCUCGGAUGGUUCCGGUAA
rnacentral:rRNA from 1 species